rnacentral:lncRNA from 1 species
AGAAGGAGAAAGUAUUACAUUUUUCAUAUAAUGUUAAAGCCUUCAGUCACACCUCAUGUUUGAAAGGUCAAGAAUAGAAAACCUGCAUCAUUUGACACAUUUUCACUCUAGAGCCAAUCUGAUCCCUGAGUUUCAGUUUUAGCAGAGAUACUAAAACAAUUCUGAGCUUUUUCUUUUUAUUUGAACUCAAAAUGUGUGAAAUGUGAAGUAGAUGUACAAAACUGUCUACAAAUUGUACAGUUGAAAUCAGGAGCAAUUUGAUCAAAGUCUUGAGAUACAGUAUUAGGACUCUGAUCAUAUGUCAUUCUGACUCUUGAUGCUCGACACUUGCUGCUACAGUCACUGAACUUUGACCCAUCUGUCCUACAUGUGUUUCUGUCCACCUCCCUCUGACCUCAGGCCGGCUGCUGUGUACUCUUCAGAUCAGUGACUUUCAGACUGGUACCACCGCUCCUACUGUAUUUGUCUGUCUGUUACCUCCAUUGUGCAAUAGAAGUUUUGUUUUUUGUUAUUUUUUUUGUGUACCCUGUGAAAGCAGUUGGAUGUUUUUGAUAUAUAACAUAUGUUUUUAAAAUGUUUAUUUAUGCAGCCACUCAUCGGACAAUGUCUUUUUUUUUUUUCAUUUCAAGGAAAGACUAUGGUAAUUGAUCUUUUUAACAUAAUUAUGACUUGACACCUGAGAAAUAUCAAUUUACAACUAAAUAACUCUUUAUUUUUAAAGUUAGUUUGUUUUAUUUCCCAGAACACUGAAUAUUUCAUGUUGGUAGAAAGCUUUUGAAUUGAAACACAUUUUAGGGAAUCUUGUUUUAUUGUUUUUCACUUUACUUCUCUUUUUUCCACCUUCUUUAGCUGCCCAUCCCCCCUUGUAGGCGAAAUAAUCUAAGGUGUGCUCAUUGCAUAAGAUGCAUACAAUGUGUGUACAGUCUGUAUAGUAUGAUGUCUGUUGUAGUUGUCCUGUUACAAAUCGAAGGGGAAGAUUAAACUUGGUAAGGGAGCAUUUGGAGGAUUGCCUAUUGUUACACUAAUAGCUGAGGAGAGAAUAGAUGCUGGUUUAUUUUAAAUAGUGAUCCUCCCUGUAUGGCCCGUACUGUUUAAUAUAAUAAACAUUUCAGUUCAAUGACAAU